rnacentral:snRNA from 1 species
CUUAUUUUUCGGUCUUUUGGCUAAGAUCAAGUGUAAUAUUUGUUUUACCAGUUCAAUAUCUGAUAUAUGAACAAUAUGUUCACUUUGACAUUAAAUUCAUUUAUAAUGGGUAUUUUUAUGUGGAGGGUCCAUUAAGACUCUCA